rnacentral:rRNA from 1 species
GACGAACGCUGGCGGCGUGCUUAACACAUGCAAGUCGAACGGUGAAGCUCCAGCUUGCUGGAGUGGAUCAGUGGCGAACGGGGGAGUAACACGUGAGCAACCUGCCCCAGACUCUGGAAUAAGCGCUGGAAACGGCGUCUAAUACUGGAUACGAGAUCAAGACGCAUGUUUAUGGUCUGGAAAGUUUGUCGGUUUGGGAUGGGCUCGCGGCCUAUCAGCUUGUUGGUGAGGUAAUGGCUGACCAAGGCGACGACGGGUAGCCGGCCUGAGAGGGCGACCGGCCACACUGGGACUGAGACACGGCCCAGACUCCUACGGGAGGCAGCAGUGGGGAAUAUUGCACAAUGGGCGAAAGCCUGAUGCAGCGACGCCGCGUGAGGGAUGACGGCCUUCGGGUUGUAAACCUCUUUCAGCAGGGAAGAAGAGAAAGUGACGGUACCUGCAGAAGAAGCACCGGCUAACUACGUG